UGGGGAAUAUUGCGCAAUGGGCGAAAGCCUGACGCAGCGACGCCGCGUGCGGGAUGGAGGCCUUCGGGUUGUAAACCGCUUUUAUCGGGGAGCAAGCGAGAGUGAGUGUACCCGUUGAAUAAGCACCGGCUAACUACGUGCCAGCAGCCGCGGUAAUACGUAGGGUGCAAGCGUUAUCCGGAUUUAUUGGGCGUAAAGGGCUCGUAGGCGGUUCGUCGCGUCUGGUGUGAAAGUCCAUCGCUUAACGGUGGAUCUGCGCCGGGUACGGGCGGGCUGGAGUGCGGCAGGGGAGACUGGAAUUCCCGGUGUAACGGUGGAAUGUGUAGAUAUCGGGAAGAACACCAAUGGCGAAGGCAGGUCUCUGGGCCGUUACUGACGCUGAGGAGCGAAAGCGUGGGGAGCGAACAG
rnacentral:rRNA from 1 species